GACGAACGCUGGCGGCGUGCUUAACACAUGCAAGUCGAGCGGUAAGGCCCUUUCGGGGGUACACGAGCGGCGAACGGGUGAGUAACACGUGGGUGACCUGCCCUUAGCUCUGGGAUAAGCCUGGGAAACUGGGUCUAAUACCGGAUAUGACUCCAUGACGCAUGUUGUGGGGUGGAAAGCCUUGUGCGGCUAGGGAUGGGCCCGCGGCCUAUCAGCUUGUUGGUGGGGUNAUGGGCCACCAAGGCGACGACGGGUAGCCGGCCUGAGAGGGCGACCGGCCACACUGGGGACUGAGACACGGCCCAGACUCCUACGGGAGGCAGCAGUGGGGAAUCUUGCGCAAUGGGCGAAAGCCUGACGCAGCGACGCCGCGUGGGGA
rnacentral:rRNA from 1 species